CGAGGAGAAGACACGUAACGUGUACACGCGGGUGCAGUUAUAGCUAAAGGACGCGCGAUAAAAUGUGUGUUGAAAGUCAUCGGGGCUUUGUACUCUUUUAUCUCAAUAAAAUCCAGCAGUCCGAACUGAGUGAGAGAAAUGUUUUGAAGAUAGAGACAGAGAGUAGAACAAAGGAAUGUGAACGUACAGGUGGAAGAAUGGGCCGACCUGGAAAAUGUUUAUUAAAAUAAUAUAUUACUUCGUUUGAGCGGAUGUUAUCUCGAAAUAUAAUUAUGCGUUCGUUUGUCUGAAUAAGGAAGUGAUUCUCCAUCGAAUUAUUUUAUCAUUUAGCUAUCAAAUAAACGAAUCUUUCGUUUAAUCGAUACGCAACAAAAUUAAUAUCAGAAAUAACAGAGUGGUAACAUUUUAUGGAUUUAUAAUAUCUGCAUUUUUAUCGAUUUUAAGGGCUUUUUUAUACGGAUAAAAACUUCUAUUGUGUUUUCCUCGUGUAGAUUUCAAAAUCUUAGAGAAGCUUUCAAACAGAUGGGUGCUGAUCUUUCGUAAUCUUUUUCUAAGCUCUUAUACACAGCAACCGACGAACGUUGUAAACGAUUCUUCCGUAAUAAAGAACAUCAACCACGGACUACAAGUGUUGUUUUAUUCUAUGCAAUUAAAUUGGCCCCAACGUCAUUAAGCUACCGCUGCAGGCAUAGCGCAAGAGCGCUAGUUACGCACGCACAGAUUGACACAUUCGUUAGCAAAUAUACGGUCAAAAACAAGAUGAUCCGGCCGAAUAACACGCAGAAGGGUGCAUGACGUGAUUUCUUAUGGAAAAGUAAGCAUGGAAUAGAAUUUUAAUUGACAAUAGAAGGCUUAGUUUUCGAAAAAAUUGAGUUUGAAAAGUAUACUUGAACAUGGCUAAUUACCGUAAACUGGAUACAAGUAAACAAUCAAUAUGGCGUUGUUGUGGAAGCGGAAGAGUCACGUUUUGCACGCUUUUACAUGUUAUUCGGCAGGAUCCUGUAUAUAACAUGUAAUAAUAAAGCUACUAGAUGAUGUUCUGGAUGCUUGGAAAAGUAUUCAAGAAUUUUGGGGAGAUUUUUUAAAACACAAAAACGUAAAAAAGCACCGCAUGGACUUAAACGAACCAGUAUGCAGACGGAAGAUUAAACGCUAGAGAAUAUAAUAUGCAGAGGCUUAAUAACGAAAUAAACAAUCAAUCAGCGAUUAAGGAAGAACCAUCGAUCAAUAAUUUUUCAGUAAUUGUCUGUCUGACUGUCGUUGCGUGUAACCUGGAAACGUCAGAUAUGACAAGCAGCCGAUGCACGGUAUAAUAUCCAUCACACGGC
rnacentral:lncRNA from 1 species